GCAUUCCCAAACACAAAUACUAGACUCGCUACAAACCGAGGAAUAGAUCCCUACAUCGGAUUGACGACAAAUUGUAACGAUGCAGAGGAUAAACGUUUUAAUUUUGGUAAGUUGUUUUUAUUUGUAUGCAGUCAAUUUGGUUUAUGUCUUUGCACAUUAAAAGAUUCGAAUAUUUGUGGUUUUGCAAUCUGCAUUUCAUAUUUACUUAAAUUUCUCACUCACCAUUGCCGCUAAGCUAGGAUAGAGGCUAGACGUAAACCACUUGUAUUAAGACUUAGCUGUAUAUAGUAAAAGCUUUAUACCUUCUUAUACAUAUAAGAAUGAUUCAAUUACCUCGGGAAACUGCUGACGCCUUAAUUUUGUCCAGAAAAGCAAAAACUGUCUAUAUUUUAUAUCAUCGAGGAAGAAAAUAGAACGUAUAGUGGUCCAAAGACAGAGCUUUGUUGAACUUCAUGUUGGUUGUUCCAAAUAUUUCAUAUAGGCUUUAUGCUGAAUUUCUGUAUAAGAAUAUCAUGUCCAGCAAUGGUGUUUUUCAUUUUGUAUAGCUACAUCACUAUGCCAUUCAACAAAAUCUCUUGCCCUACUUGAUAUUGUCAUUUAGUGCUCGUCAUUUCUAAAUUUUCGUUCUGUUCCAGGUUCAGUGACGUGUCAUGGAAAUAUGGUAAAGAAUGUCAACUGUCCUAAAGAUCAGUACAUGGUGGUCAAGAAUGCAUCGUACCGUGGAUUGUCUGACACAAAGACAUGUGGUUUGAGUGAUGAUUAUAGUUGUGAAGUUGGUGUAACAUGUCUUGUUAAGAAACAAUGUGAUGGUCAACAUGAGUGUAAUAUAACUGUGGAUGACAACUUGUUCUCUGUUGAUCUAUGUCCUGGAUUGACAAAAUAUCUUUACUUUGAAUAUCAAUGUAUUAACACUACAACACCUUCUAAAGAAAUUUGUG
rnacentral:lncRNA from 1 species